UGGGUAGGAUCGUUUUGAGGAAAGAUGGGAGUCUGGCGUAGAAAUUAGUCGUUUCUCCGCAGAGCAGACGCCCAAAAAGUAACCCAAAAUCAGAAGCGUUUUCGCAUAGCUGCUUUCACGUUUUACAGUCAGAACCGUUUCACGUAGGUUGGAGAUCGUAAGAAUAAAUUCAUCAUGAAGAAUGGAGAUUUAUGUCCUGCAGUCACACCAAAUCCAAUUGUUAUCCCUGCUUUAGGACUGGUUCUACAGCUUCAAGCAAUGAGAAACAUUUGUUAAAACUAAACUCCUAUAUAACACCAUAUAUUAUACUCAGGAAUUCUGGUAGCUUUCUGACAAUUGUGGGUAAAAAUAUCAGUGACAUGAAAAAAAGUUUUGAGAACUACUGUAUUUUUUCAACUGAUGUUUUUUGCAAUAGAAAAGGGAUUUCUAAAAUGAAAAUUAGGAUGAAGAUGAUAACAUCUGAUUCAUGUUGGCAGUAUAAUAUUUCUCUAGUUUUCUUACAUAUUUGAUACAGAAUUAUUGUCCAGUAAAAAUUUUUCGCCUCUCUACAAUUGAAGUAGUUCAGCUAAUGUCAGCCAAGUAUCUCAUACAUAUUUCUAUCAAUUUUUGUGACGUAAAUCGGUUCAGCCGGACAUAGUUAGCUUAAUUGGUUUCACCAACACCAAAAGAUUUCUUAUUUUAAUGUGUCUGCACUAAUAGAUAUCCUGAUUUAGAAUAUUUAUUCAUUUAAACGACUUAUAUAGCCACCCAUGGUAACCCCGACUAUUUCAGAGAACAACAAUAAAAAUAUAAGCAACAUAACAAUA